rnacentral:rRNA from 1 species
CUCAGGACGAACGCUGGCGGCGUGCUUAACACAUGCAAGUCGAACGGAAAGGCUYCAGCUUGCUGGAGUACUCGAGUGGCGAACGGGUGAGUAACACGUGGGUGAUCUGCCCUGCACUUCGGGAUAAGCCUGGGAAACUGGGUCUAAUACCGGAUAGGACCGCACUUUGGUGUGUGUGGUGGAAAGUUUUUUCGGUGUAGGAUGAGCCCGCGGCCUAUCAGCUUGUUGGUGGGGUAAUGGCCUACCAAGGCGGCGACGGGUAGCCGGCCUGAGAGGGUGGACGGCCACAUUGGGACUGAGAUACGGCCCAGACUCCUACGGGAGGCAGCAGUGGGGAAUAUUGCACAAUGGGCGGAAGCCUGAUGCAGCGACGCCGCGUGGGGGAUGACGGCCUUCGGGUUGUAAACUCCUUUCGCCAGGGACGAAGCGUUUUUGUGACGGUACCUGGAUAAGAAGCACCGGCUAACUACGUGCCAGCAGCCGCGGUAAUACGUAGGGUGCGAGCGUUGUCCGGAAUUACUGGGCGUAAAGAGCUCGUAGGUGGUUUGUCGCGUCGUCUGUGAAAUUCCGGGGCUUAACUCCGGGCGUGCAGGCGAUACGGGCAGGCUUGAGUACUGUAGGGGUAACUGGAAUUCCUGGUGUAGCGGUGAAAUGCGCAGAUAUCAGGAGGAACACCGAUGGCGAAGGCAGGUUACUGGGCAGUUACUGACG